rnacentral:rRNA from 1 species
UAAUACGUAGGGGGCGAGCGUUGUCCGGAUUCACUGGGCGUAAAGGACGCGCAGGCGGCCCGAGGGGUCCGUCGUUAAAGCCCGGGGCUUAACUCCGGGUGGUCGGCGGGGACCGGCGGGCUUGGAGGCCGGUAGAGGGAUGCGGAAUUCCCGGUGUAGUGGUGAAAUGCGUAGAGAUCGGGAGGAACACCAGAGGCGAAAGCGGCAUCCUGGGCCGGGCCUGACGCUGAGGCGUGAAAGCGUGGGGAGCGAACCGGAUUAGAUACCCGGGUAGUCCACGCCCUAAACGGUGACCACUAGGUGCAGGGGGUAUCGACCCCUUCUGUGCCGAAGCCAACGCAAUAAGUGGUCCGCCUGGGGAGUACGGCCGCAAGGCUA